rnacentral:rRNA from 1 species
UACGGAGGAUGCAAGCGUUAUCCGGAAUGAUUGGGCGUAAAGCGUCCGCAGGUGGCUAUGUAAGUCUGUUGUUAAAGAGUCUAGCUUAACUAGAUAAAGGCAAUGGAAACUAUAAGGCUAGAGUACGUUCGGGGCAGAGGGAAUUCCUGGUGUAGCGGUGAAAUGCGUAGAGAUCAGGAAGAACACCGGUGGCGAAAGCGCUCUGCUAGGCCGUAACUGACACUGAGGGACGAAAGCGUGGGGAUCAAACAGG